rnacentral:rRNA from 1 species
AUUGAACGCUGGCGGCAGGCCUAACACAUGCAAGUCGAGCGGAUGAAGGGAGCUUGCUCCUGGAUUCAGCGGCGGACGGGUGAGUAAUGCCUAGGAAUCUGCCUGGUAGUGGGGGAUAACGUCCGGAAACGGGCGCUAAUACCGCAUACGUCCUGAGGGAGAAAGUGGGGGAUCUUCGGACCUCACGCUAUCAGAUGAGCCUAGGUCGGAUUAGCUAGUUGGUGGGGUAAAGGCCCACCAAGGCGACGAUCCGUAACUGGUCUGAGAGGAUGACCAGUCACACUGGAACUGAGACACGGUCCAGACUCCUACGGGAGGCAGCAGUGGGGAAUAUUGGACAAUGGGCGAAAGCCUGAUCCAGCCAUGCCGCGUGUGUGAAGAAGGUCUUCGGAUUGUAAAGCACUUUAAGUUGGGAGGAAGGGCAGUAAGUUAAUACCUUGCUGUUUUGACGUUACCAACAGAAUAAGCACCGGCUAACUUCGUG